rnacentral:ribozyme from 1 species
CGUCUGCAGGUACUGGUGCUGGUUGUGGUGAACAAACUAUAACUGGAGAAGAUGAGAAGGACUUUUUCGGCAUUGCUCGCAGCCUCCAGCUUUUAUGUC